UGGGGAAUAUUGCACAAUGGGCGCAAGCCUGAUGCAGCCAUGCCGCGUGUAUGAAGAAGGCCUUCGGGUUGUAAAGUACUUUCAGUCGGGAGGAAGGUGUCAAGGUUAAUAACCUUGGCAAUUGACGUUACCGACAGAAGAAGCACCGGCUAACUCCGUGCCAGCAGCCGCGGUAAUACGGAGGGUGCAAGCGUUAAUCGGAAUUACUGGGCGUAAAGCGCACGCAGGCGGUUGAUUGAGUCAGAUGUGAAAUCCCCGGGCUUAACCCGGGAAUUGCAUCUGAUACUGGUCAGCUAGAGUCUUGUAGAGUGGGGUAGAAUUCCAUGUGUGGCGGGGAAAUGCGUGGAGAUGUGGGGGAAUACCGGUGGCGAAGGCGGCCCCCUGGACAAAGACUGACGCUCAGGUGCGAAAGCGUGGGGAGCAAACAGG
rnacentral:rRNA from 1 species